rnacentral:rRNA from 1 species
UGGGGAAUUUUGGACAAUGGGCGAAAGCCUGAUCCAGCCAUGCCGCGUGAGUGAAGAAGGCCUUCGGGUUGUAAAGCUCUUUUAGUCGGAAAGAAAGAGUUGCAAUGAAUAAUUGUGAUUUAUGACGGUACCGACAGAAAAAGCACCGGCUAACUACGUGCCAGCAGCCGCGGUAAUACGUAGGGUGCGAGCGUUAAUCGGAAUUACUGGGCGUAAAGGGUGCGCAGGCGGUCUUGCAAGUCAGAUGUGAAAGCCCCGGGCUUAACCUGGGAAUUGCGUUUGAAACUACAAGGCUAGAGUGCAGCAGAGGGGAGUGGAAUUCCAUGUGUAGCAGUGAAAUGCGUAGAGGUGUGGAAGAACACCGAUGGCGAAGGCAGCUCCCUGGGUUGACACUGACGCUCAUGCACGAAAGCGUGGGGAGCAAACA